CGCGUACUCCAUGCAGGGGAGACAUCUAGGAUGCCGGAUUGGGGCAAAGCUGGGGAAGGGAGGGCUGUCCCCCGUCAGCCCGGGAGACUCCGGGGUGGUCGAGCCUCAGGCUGCCCCUGCAGCCACACUGGGAAGGCUGAAGAACACGGCCAGCCGGGCUGCAGACACCCAUUUGGACAGCCGAGGGCUGGAGGCGUCUGGCAGGAGGAGCAUGUGGUCCCUGGCAGCCACUCGCCAGCCCCGCCGUCGUUGACAGCUGGCUGUUUUCUGCAGCACUUCUGAGCCACCAGUGUUCAUUUCCAGAAUUCUUGCACCGAAUCUCUCCGCGGCAAGGUGAACGGAACAUCGGGUCUUCCACAGAGGGACAGAAACCCUUGCCCAGUGGAGGCCUCCAGCCACAGAGGACCCUUAGGGAUGGAAAGCCCAGGGCGGGAGGGAGAAGGAGAGGGACCAGGUGCAGACACCUGAGGAUGAGCAAACAGAGGCCAGGCCAGGGAUGUGGCGAGAAUUACGGGAGACUCUCUGGGUGACUUGGGGCAACUUCAUCCCACUCUCUGGACCCCAGAGAGGCAAUGAGGGAUGCCCUCAGUGGGCAGAAAUGGCCAUUCUAGCCCGGGAAGCUUGUGGGUUAUGGAAGUCUGGCUACUAGAGUAGAGAAGCUGACAAGAGGAGGGAGUCCAGGGAGGGUUCUAAGCUUAGGGGCAAACCCUCCUCUUCUCCCCUUCCCGCUCCACCUCCUCCAGGAAGCUCCUCACCCCACACCCAUGCCUGUUCCCCAGCCCUGUGCCCAGGGCUCCGUGGGCCUUUUUUUCUUGCCACCGGGGUGAAUUGUCAAUUGAUUUGUUAUUUAUCCCACUGACAACAAAGAGAGUGAAAAGGUAAUAAUUCUGGGCCCUGGGGUAAUUCAAUUCCUGUAGCACCGUCAGCUACAUUAACUUACUUCCUGGAUCUCAAUUCAAUUAGAGCAACAUUCCCCAGCAUUAAUAAAUCAAUACUCAUGCCAUUUGGAUAUAUUUUGAAUGUCUUUCAUUAUACAUUGCAGGUCGGGGAUGGC
rnacentral:lncRNA from 10 species